UAUUUUCCUGCCCACCCCUCUAAAUAAAUAAAUAAUAAAGAAAAAAAAGCCUCGACUCAAACAGAACUACUUAGCAAUAGAAACUGCCAAGACUUCAUCUCGCAGACUCAAAAUUCUCAUUCUCUAAGGCGUAUAUUUGUUUGAAAUUUGUGGAUACAUUGUAGUGCUUGGUGACAUACUUUUUCUACUUUCAGUUUUUUGUAAUUUGAUAUUCUCUCAUGCUUUCUCUUUAUUUCUUAUGUGUAGAAUCUUUAAAAUAAGCUUCAAAAUUUUACUGGGCAACAUAGGAAUAAGCUCAAGAUUCUGUCGCCACAAGUUAAGAAACGUAGAGAUAUUCUAAGAGAGCUUCAGGUGCGUUCUUGGUUCAAUUUCGAACUUCGUCUCUGUUCUUCUUGCCUUUCUUCUGAUGUUUAAUUUGUGAAGAUUCAUCUGUCAUGGUUAUAUUAAAUUGGUGAAGGAUUGUUGUGAUAACUUAGCCCUAAUUGUUUUGGGAUCUAUUGGAGAUUGUACUUUUAUAAUUGUCUAUGGAAUUGCUCACCAGCUGUUCGACUAAUUUCCUGAAUGAAUAUUGGAGCCUUAGAAUUAGCAUCUUUCAUCCCCACUGCUAAAUAAACUCCAAGAACUUUUUUCAGUCAAUAGAUUUUGCAAUACGUGUUUUAAUUUUCAGUAAUACAUAUUUGAAUAAAGAAAUAUAAUAUCUUUUAAAAAAUUUGAUUAACUACAAAAUAUUGUACCAUAUAGCAGCAUAAUUGCCUUGUAGAGGCAACAUAAAAAAAUGAUAGAUACCAGAAAAGUAGAGUAACAUGAGCACUGAAAAGGGAAAUAACAAUGGAAUAUAACAGUGAAAGAUCCUAAGAUCCACCUUCUUAGAAAUAGUCAAAUACUAUAGCAUUUGAAAUACUACCACAGUUAGCCAAUUUCAAUAAGUAAUAAUUUUUGAGCUAGAAAACUAACACCUUGAAAAGUUUCUACGAAAGCUAAAUAAGGUAAGAGCACAACAAGUAAUAGCCAAAUAAUAAGAUGCAACUGCAAUGCAAGCUUUACAUUCAUUUUAAGACUCUAGUAAUCAUGGUUAGUCUAUUUUUCAGUGGAUGUCUUCUUAUAAGAAAGUACAGUGAGCAAAUCAAACAUAUUUAGCAACAAAAAGAAUAGUUAUAGGGAUCAUCAAAUCGAAAAAGCUUUAGUCGUCAUGAGCAUGUUGCAAAUAAUUUUUUGUUAAUUCCUUUUAAUUGGGAUUAUUUUUCGACUUUCUUCUAAUUCUAGAGGUGUUGGAAAAUACAUUUUGAGGUUGAUAAAAGGGUUUUUUGAAGCUGCUGAUUGUGGUACUUCAUUAUCUGAGGAGACUAAUGACCAGUGAGAAAGGACAAUCUUAAAUUUAUUUUUUGAAUAUAUUUUAUUCUGCUUUUAUCAUUGAAUGACCAUUGCACUACUUAGAGGAAGGUAUAGUGUUUAUACUAUUACCCUGUUCUCAGGGUAAUAGUAUCUUGGCAGAUUCUGCCUCUGAGCAGAUUGAAUUUAUUGCUCUUUCGCAAAGGACAGAAGACCCAAAGUAUCAACAGAAGGUGGAGAUUGUUAUCUUAGAACUUAAUAGAACUUUUUCAGAUGAUGGUUUGCUUCCAAUACACAUUAAUCCGGAGAGAGGGAUUAAUGCCUUCCACUGUUUAUGGUCAUUUUCGAAUAUGUAGAUCAAAUAGAACUUUUUACAUUCAGUUUAAAUAUAAAAGAAUACCUGAAAGUUUAAAAUUUGACUGGGAAAUGCUCGACUCUUUUUAUGUACUAGUUAUGGUAUCCAUUAAAAUAUUAGCUAGUUAUGGUUAGUCUUCAUUUCGAUCUUUCUUCUGGUUCAAUAUUCAUUGUUCCUGAAAUACUCUUGUCUGAUAAAUUGUAAUUGCUUUCUGUGGGAAGUUUCAGUCAAUUUAGUUCUCUUUUCGAAUAUAUAGAUGAUUCCUAUAAAAUUGUGCUUGCUUUCUUUGUGGUCAAUCUUUAUUUUGUGGGAAAGUAAAAAGGAAGAAAAAGUAGAAGCUUAUAGGAGUAUUUUUUAUUAGACUGAUAAGAAUUUAUUAUUUUAACAGAUAAAAAAACUGAAGUCUGAAGAACCUGUCCUUGAAAAAAGUGCAGAGUAAGUAGCAACUGAAAAUGCUAAAGAACAAGUUGAACCAGAAGAGGAGCCUAUUUUCUCUUUUGUUAGGAGUUAUUUAACAGAUAUUUCAUUUGUAAUGCUACAAUCUAUUUUCUGUUUUGUUAGGAGUUGACAAGUUUAUUGUCCAUUUUGGAUAGGUAUAUUUUUGGUAGUGUUUUGCUUUUGUUCCUUGUAAUUAACUGUGAAAUUUAUAGGAAUAUUGAUUAUUUCUUA